CUUGACUUGCAUGUGAUACCUAUUAGCAAGAAUUUGAACUGGUCCAUAGCCUUGUUUGAUGCUCUAGUAGUUGCUGAAGGAGGUCUGGAUAGGAGGUAAAACAAUGGCGCACUCCAUCCACUGAAGGAAGGCACCAGGUCAUGAAGGGGCCAAGGUGGUGAACAUAAACUGGGUUGAAGAGGGAGCAUGGGUCCUAGGCCUAGGGUGAAGCUGUAGCUCACCAAUUCCUGUUACUCCUUCUCCUCUUCCCCCUUCCCCAUAAUAUCUGGACAAUUCUGCUGUGAGACAGUCCUGUGACAAAGCUCGUUGCAAGGUGCUAAAGGACGUUUCCUGUUGGAUAUAGUGGAAGAAGCUGCCUAGAGGUCAGUGGUCCAAGUAAGGGAGCCUUCUUUUCACACUAUCUCAAGUCUAUGGAGAAGCAGAUGGCUGCCUUGUGAUCAUCAUGAUGGAGGACAAGAUUAAUUAACUCUGAUCUUUUCAUUUGCAUGGGCCUAAUGUGGAUGGCUUCAUAAUUGCUUCUUAAAAAAGAGACUCUUCUGAGAAAAUAACAUGUGAAUAAAUCUGAACUCUCUUCACUCCUUCCUACUGCC
rnacentral:lncRNA from 1 species